GCCUGACGGAGCAACGCCGCGUGAGGGAGGAAGGCCUGUGGGUUGUAAACCUCUUUUCUCAAGGAAAAAGUUCUGACGGUACUUGAGGAAUCAGCAUCGGCUAACUCCGUGCCAGCAGCCGCGGUAAGACGGAGGAUGCAAGCGUUAUCCGGAAUUGUUGGGCGUAAAGCGUCCGUAGGCGGUUUCAAAAGUCUGUUGUUAAAUCCCACAGCUCAACUGUGGAUCGGCGAUGGAAACUGUGAGACUAGAGAGUGGUAGGGGUAGAGGGAAUUCCUAGUGUAGCGGUGAAAUGCGUAGAUAUUAGGAAGAACACCAGUGGCGAAGGCGCUCUACUGGGCCAUUACUGACGCUGAUGGACGAAAGCUAGGGGAGCGAAAGGGAUUAGAUACCCCUGUAGUCCUAGCUGUAAACGAUGGAUACUAGGUGUUGGCCGUAUCGACCCGGUCAGUAUCGAAGCAAACGCGUUAAGUAUCCCGCCUGGGGAGUACGCACGCAAGUGUGAAACUCAAAGGAAUUGACGGGGGCCCGCACAAGCGGUGGAGUAUGU
rnacentral:rRNA from 1 species